GAUGAAGAACGUAGCGAAAUGCGAUAAGUAGUGUGAAUUGCAGAAUUCAGUGAAUCAUCGAAUCUUUGAACGCACAUUGCGCCCCUUGGUAUUCCAUGGGGCAUGCCUGUUCGAGCGUCAUUUGUACCUUCAAGCUCUGCUUGGUGUUGGGUGUUUGUCUCGCCUCUGCGUGUAGACUCGCUUCAAAACAAUUGGCAGCCGGCGUAUUGAUUUCGGAGCGCAGUACAUCUCGCGCUUUGCACUCAUAACGACGACGUCCAAAAGUACAUUUUUACACUCUUGACCUCGGAUCAGGUAGGGAUACCCGCUGAACUUAAGCAUAUCAAUAAGCGGAGGA
rnacentral:misc_RNA from 1 species